GGUGCCUUCCUGGGGCUGGUAAAAAGGAACCAGAUCAACUACAACUGGAUUUGGUCCCCUUCAACCAGCUGCAGUGGGGCACGAGG
rnacentral:pre_miRNA from 7 species